UGUGCAUGUGUGUGUGUGCGUGGGUAGGUGGGUGUGUGUGCGUGGGUAGGUGGGUGUGGUGUGUGGGUGUGCGUGUGUGCAUACGCGUGUGUGUGUGCGUGGGUAGGUGGGUGUGGUGUGUGGGUGUGUGUGCGUGGGUAGGUGGGUGUGGUGUGUGGGUGUGCAUGUGUGCAUACGCGUGUGUGUGUGCGUGGGUAGGUGGGUGUGGUGUGUGGGUGUGCGUGUGCAUCCGUGUGUGUGUGUGCGUGGGUGGGUGUGGUGCGUGUGACUCAGUCACAGGGAGACAGCAGCCCAGACGCUGCCGUACUGUGGAAUGCAGGUCUGAUGCAUUUACACAGCUGGCUCGCAGCGUUCAGA